rnacentral:rRNA from 1 species
UAAAGAAUAUUGGUCAAUGGACGCAAGUCUGAACCAGCCAUGCCGCGUGAAGGAUGAAGGUCCUCUGGAUUGUAAACUUCUUUUAUCUGGGACGAAAACGGGAUUUUUAUCUCAAUUGACGGUACCAGAGGAAUAAGCGCCGGCUAACUCCGUGCCAGCAGCCGCGGUAAUACGGAGGGUGCGAGCGUUAUCCGGAUUUACUGGGUUUAAAGGGUGCGUAGGUGGGCUUAUAAGUCAGUGGUGAAAUCUCCGAGCUUAACUUGGAAACUGCCGUUGAUACUAUAGGUCUUGAAUUAUCUGGAGGUAAGCGGAAUAUGUCAUGUAGCGGUGAAAUGCUUAGAUAUGACAUAGAACACCAAUUGCGAAGGCAGCUUACUACAUAUAAAUUGACGCUGAGGCACGAAAGCGUGGGGAUCAAACA